UUCAGACAAAAAAACUAAAAUAACCCAGCAAGAACUAUGAAGUAACUCCGCCAUGCAACUUAACAAAAUUAAGUAUUAGCUACUAAGCCAAUCAGUCUAUUUGGAUAGUGGCGGCAUUUCUUUCUGACGGCUGAUUGAGAUCAUAAUAAAGAUGCAAACACAGACAAUCACAUCAACAUCAAUAAACACCUAGCAAUACUGAUCAAAAUAACAAUAACAAAGCACUUUAAGCCUAAUAUCACUUGUCAAGCAUAUGCGCCUAUGUCCGAUGAUUACCCCAUCGCCUACGAGGUUCUAACUCAAUCUAGUUAUGCAGUUAAAAUCUACUUUUUCACAUAAUGCCUGCGGGCAUAUCAUCUUAAUCACUAAGUUUGGUCAUUCUCAUUCGCAUUUAAACGCAUGCAUAUUGCAAAGGAGAGAGGAGAAA
rnacentral:lncRNA from 1 species